UGGGAACGCGAAGAACCUUACCAGGUCUUGACAUCCUUUGACAAUCCUAGAGAUAGGACUUUCCCUUCGGGGACAAAGUGACAGGUGGUGCAUGGUUGUCGUCAGCUCGUGUCGUGAGAUGUUGGGUUAAGUCCCGCAACGAGCGCAACCCCUAUUGUUAGUUGCCAGCAUUCAGUUGGGCACUCUAAUGAGACUGCCGGUGACAAACCGGAAGGAAGGUGGGGAUGACGUCAAAUCACCAUGCCCCUUAUGACCUGGGCUACACACGUGCUACAAUGGAUGGUACAACGAGCAGCAAGACCGCGAGGUCAAGCGAAUCUCUUAAAGCCAUUCUCAGUUCGGAUUGCAGGCUGCAACUCGCCUGCAUGAAGCCGGAAUCGCUAGUAAUCGCGGAUCAGCACGCCGCGGUGAAUACGUUCCCGGGUCUUGUACACACCG
rnacentral:rRNA from 1 species